rnacentral:tRNA from 1 species
CCGUCGCCGCGGCCCCGCGGGCCACCGCCGCCUCGGGGGCGGCGGACACCGGUUCCGUCUCCGGCUCCUCCGGAGCGACGGCC